ACCUUUCUCUUCCCCUGUAUCUUUUCUUCUUCAUUAUAAAUUUCUCAGAUUUAGUCUCUUUCUUGGCCUCUCAUAUCUCAACAGAAUAAACAACAAAAACAUAUAUCCUAUGAUCUAAUGCAAAGCGGCAACGACAAGAGCAAUCAAUCGAAAGUGGAAAAGAUUUUACAUUAACUACAAUAUCACAGUUGGAAAAAAGGGUUACCAACACAGAGGAAUCUUUGAAAAUCUUUGAGUUUGCAGUGCACUGAAGAACACAAAAAAUGAAGACGAGAUCUACAAAAAGGAAGAGGAGAAAUCCAGAAAGGUAUCUCUCAUAUUGGUUUCAAUUUCUGAAAAUUUAUCUUUUUAUAUGAAAUGUUAAUGUUAUUGGCAUCUGCUUCCAAGUUUUCAUCUGUUUCAGAAAAACGAAUUUUUUACCGUACAAUGGCAUAUGCUGCUGAAUCAGGAUGGGAUUUCAGCACAAGAUGGAUGAGAUAUGCAGAUUAAAAGCCUUUAUAGGCUAUUAAAUUAUGCAAACUAUUAGUUUGGAUUGUUUUCUUUCCAGCUCAAGCAUUCAUCCAUUGUUGCUAAUACAUGGUAGAAGAUGAUACAAAUUGAUUACAUGUUGUCUCUUCAUUGCCUUUCAUUUGGUUUCACCUUUGCUGAAUUUGAAAGUGGUGUCUAUAUUCUUUUUUCAUUAACCCUUUAUUCCGAAAGAAUUUCAGAGAUCUAUAUUGAAACCAAAAAGUAUUCAGAAGUCUUUGAACUUAGUAUGCAAUAAGUGGCCAGGAGCAUAUUCAUAUCCUCAAGAAUGCAGGGAUCGAACAAAAUGAUGAAUUUUACAGCAUAGAAAACGUUUCAGAGGCAACGGGGUUUACGCUAGGAUUAAAGUGUAAUAGAGAUUCAACACGUAAGAUUCGGAUUUAUCAAGUUUACAUAUGUGUGGACACUUCUGGAUCAAGUUUCAUUGAGUGCCCUUUGUUUCCAAAGAGUAGAUGUGGUGAUCAAGUCCUAUUCCCUAAGUUUUCAUUGAUUUCUAUAGUUGGAGCAAUAAGGUCGAUGGUUCUAGACUGAAGUAGAAUUUAAGUACAUUAUUAUUAAGUUAUAAUUUGGAAUAUUCAGUGGUUAAAUAUUCAGUGGUGUAUGUGAUUCUAUGUUGCUCUUAUUUGGUGGGAACAUAUCCAAAGGUGGACUGGUAAGUUCCUACUUUGUUUUUUCUUCACGUCUUCCCUCGAUGAGCUCUUUAUUAUUUAUACCUGUUAGUUCUUUUUAACUACUCAUUGUGCUUUGACAUAUGGUGAACCUACGCUUCUUAUCGAUUCAGUUAUGCUCAAUCAUUCAAAUAAACUUAUUUACAACUAAUUAUUUCAGUUAUUUUCCUCAAAUAUAUGUAGGAAUUGGAGUUGUUUGCAAUACUACUAAUGGGUCUUAAGAAGAGAGCAAAUCAGAUAACUUCAUUGCUAUUCUUUCAUUUUCCAGCAAAUUCAUAUGAAUAGUUUUCGUAUGAAGUUACAAAUCGUAUCUGAUAGAAUUUAAUACAUAGAUCAGCCUUUCUUUUCUUUUUAUAAUAGUAGCUAUUCAGUUCAUUCUUCAUGUAGUAGUUUUCAUUUUUUUUGUUGGAUGUCUGAAGGCAACAAAAGAUGCAAGGUAUGCUAUGCUUUCUUAGAACUAAAUCAUUUGUUUCAUUUGGCAUAUUUUCAAAUUUCUUGAUAUUUCUUCUUAAUGUAACGAUUAACUAAACACCAAUUAAUGUAACAAUGACUAUUCAAUUUUCUGUUUUAAUUUGUGAUAUAUUCUUUUCUUCAUUACCAACAAAUUAUUGCAGGAAGUUUACAAUUGAUUUUUAAGUGUCUGUUAAUUAUCUAUUUAUUACUAAAUGUUAAGCUAUGGUAUAUAUUCUUAUUCAUGAUGCAGAGAUGAUCGUGGAUCCUCAACUUUUUCCAAAUUUCUCAUUGCAAGUAUCUAACUCUGAAUCAAUUUGGUCCUCCACUUUUAUAACAUGUUAUUCCCUCACUUAGAACAUGUAAAAGGAGAAUAUGAACCACCAAAUGUGUUUUUGAGUGCCAGUAUAUCCAAGGAGAGACUCUUGAUGCAAAGUGUAUAUUGUCCCAUUUUUCAAAAUCAAAGUUAAAUUAUAUGAAAAAAAA